GAUGAACGCUAGCGGCAGGCCUAACACAUGCAAGUCGAGGGGUAGCAGGAUUAAGCUUGCUUAAUUGCUGACGACCGGCGCACGGGUGCGUAACGCGUAUGCAACCUACCUUAUACUGGGGUAUAGCCCGGAGAAAUUCGGAUGAAUCCCCCAUAGUACUAAUGAAUCGCAUGGUUUAUUAGUUAAAGCAUUGCGGUAUAAGAUGGGCAUGCGUCCUAUUAGCUAGAUGGAGAGGUCACGGCUCACCAUGGCUACGAUAGGUAGGGGGCCUGAGAGGGUGGUCCCCCACACUGGUACUGAGACACGGACCAGACUCCUACGGGAGGCAGCAGUGAGGAAUAUUGGUCAAUGGGCGCAAGCCUGAACCAGCCAUGCCGCGUGCAGGAAGAAUGCCCUAUGGGUUGUAAACUGCUUUUAUUUGGGAAUAAACCUCUUUACGUGUAGAGAGCUGAAGGUACCAAAUGAAUAAGCACCGGCUAACUCCGUGCCAGCAGCCGCCGUAA
rnacentral:rRNA from 1 species